UACGAAUGGGGCAAGCGUUGUUCGGAAUCACUGGGCUUAAAGCGUGCGUAGGCGGAUUUGCAAGUCAGACGUGAAAUCCCGGGGCUCAACCCCGGAAUAGCGUUUGAAACUGCAAAUCUAGAAUCCGGCAGAGGUAAGGGGAAUUCCGAGUGUAGAGGUGAAAUUCGCAGAUAUUCGCAAGAACACCAGUGGCGAAGGCGGCUGUCUGGUCCGGUUCUGACGCUGAGGCGCGAAAGCGUGGGGAGCAAACAGG
rnacentral:rRNA from 1 species